UACAGAGACCUCAAGCGUUAUCGGAAUCAUUGGGCGUAAAGCGUACCGAUAGGUGGUUUAUAUAGUCUUGGGUAAAAGCCGGAAGCUCAACUUCCGCGUUUGCUUAAGAUACUUAUAGACUAGAGGGGCAAAGAGGUCAUUGGAACCAACGGUGUAGUAGUGAAAUGCGUUGAUAUCGUUGGGAACACCGAAAGCGAAGGCAGAUGACUGGGUGCCACCUGACACUGCUAGGACGAAAGCGUGGGGAGCGAAUGGG
rnacentral:rRNA from 1 species